rnacentral:rRNA from 1 species
CCGGACCGUGCACAAGUCUCCUGGAACGGAGCGUCACAGAGGGUGAGAAUCCCGUCUUUGGCAUGGACCCCCCGGUGCUCCACAGAAGCACUCUCAAAGAGUCGAGUUGUUUGGGAAUGCAGCUCAAAAUGGGUGGUGAACUCCAUCUAAAGCUAAAUAUUGGCGAGAGACCGAUAGCGAACAAGUACCGUGAGGGAAAGAUGAAAAGCACUUUGGAAAGAGAGUGAAACAGUACGUGAAAUUGUUGAAAGGGAAACGCUUGAAGUCAGUCGCGUCGACCGAGACUCASCCUCGCCUCGGCUUGGUGUACUUCUCGGCUGACGGGCCAGCAUCAAUUUUGCCUCUCGGAUAAUGGCAAGGGAAAGGUGGCACCCUUAUGGGUGUGUUAUAGUCUCCUGUCGCAUGCGAGGGGUGGGAUUGAGGAACUCAGCACGCACCCUCGGGUGUCGGGGCUUUGGCCCACGCUUACGUGCUUAGGAUGCUGGCGUAAUGGCUUUAAACGACCCGUCUUGAAACACGGACCAAGGAGUCUAACAUGCCCGCGAGUGUUCGGGUGGAAAACCCGUGCGCGUAAUGAAAGUAAAAGUUGGGACCUCCGUCGUGGAGGGCACCGACGCCCGGACCAGACCUUCUGUGACGGAUCUGCGGUAGAGCGUGCAUG